CCUACGGGAGGCAGCAGUGGGGAAUAUUGCACAAUGGGCGAAAGCCUGAUGCAGCAACGCCGCGUGAAGGAAGACGGUUUUCGGAUUGUAAACUUCUAUCAAUAGGGAAGAAAGAAAUGACGGUACCUAAAUAAGAAGCCCCGGCUAACUACGUGCCAGCAGCCGCGGUAAUACGGAGGAUGCGAGCGUUAUCCGGAUUUAUUGGGUUUAAAGGGUGCGCAGGCGGAGGUGCAAGUCAGCGGUCAAAUUGCGGGGCUCAACCCCGUACUGCCGUUGAAACUGCAUCCCUUGAGUGCGCGAGAAGUAUGCGGAAUGCGUGGUGUAGCGGUGAAAUGCAUAGAUAUCACGCAGAACUCCGAUUGCGAAGGCAGCAUACCGGCGCGCAACUGACGCUCAUGCACGAAAGCGUGGGUAUCGAACAGGAUUAGAUACCCUAGUAGUC
rnacentral:rRNA from 1 species